GAAAUGCGAUACGUAAUGUGAAUUGCAGAAUUCAGUGAAUCAUCGAAUCUUUGAACGCACCUUGCGCCCCUUGGCAUUCCGAGGGGCACACCCGUUUGAGUGUCGUGAAAUUCUCAAAGACCCUUUUCUUUUAAAGGAUUUUUGGACUUGGAGGUUCAAUGCUCGCUUUCGCUUUCGAAGGUGAGCUCCUCUCAAAUGAAUUAGUGGGGUCCGCUUUGUCGAUCCUUGACGUGAUAAGAUGUUUCUACGUUUUGGAUUUGGCACUGUCUUUUGGAUGUUUGCUUCCAACUGUCUUAUGGACGACGAUGGUGCUCCGGUCACCGCCACCUACGUUGGCGGGAGGCUGGACCCACAAAAAACCCUUGACCUCAAAUCGGGUGAGACUACCCGCUGAACUUAA
rnacentral:rRNA from 1 species